UGUUCUAACAGACUCAGUAAAUCCAUCAUUAAAGUGAAUCCCUCUGUUUGUGCAGCCAUGAUGCGUUCAGGACUCUCAGCAGUUUAUUUCCACUGUGUACUUGAGUGAAAUCUGCAGAGUAAACAGACUUGAUGCCCAAAGUCUCUGCAGGUCUGUGAGCUUCCAGCUCAGUGUGUUCACUCCAACACGUUAACAUGAGAGCUGGAAGAAAGCCGACUACGCUACACAGCCGCUCCACUCUGCUCUGAACAGGAAGUCCCUACUGGUCUUUAUACUGGAUGUGCUGCAUCACUGACUGACAGCUGGUUUAUAACUUCUCUUGUCUUCUUCUCUCAUCAGCUGGAGGCUAUGAGAGGAUCAGCUGUGUCCUGAUGAUCCAGAGACGUUGCUGCCUAAUGCAUGCUGGGUUUUUUGGAUACCCUGAGAUUCUGGACCCUGGAUGUGGAGUGAUUCUCUCCCUGACGAGGGGGAUGGCGAGCUACCCGUGUGAGCAUCUGGAUUGAGGAGGGCCUUCCCAUGCUUCAUCUUCUGUCCUGUCAGCGUGGUAGGGCUGUGGGCAAGGACUUUCAAGGACGAUCAAAGUGAACUAUUUUCUUAUUUUUUGGGGGAAGAAAUAUUUUAUUUUAUUUAGGGUGCAUCCAGUUAAAAGACAUUUCAAAAGAGAACAAAACUGACUGCCGGCAGUAUUUGUGAAUUGUUUAUUGUUUUUUAUGUGUAUUCAAUACAAUGUUUUUGCUUAAAUUU